ensembl:lncRNA
GGAGAGAGAGAGAGAGAGACAGAAAUCAGAGAGAGAGAGAGAGAGAGGCCAGACAGAUAGACAGAAAAAGAGAAAGCAAUCAGAAAUCCUGAGACAAAGAGACAGAGAGCUCCAAAGACAGAGACAGUAAUCAGAGGGGGAAAAAGCUAGGAAGACAGACAGGGAUUAAAGACAGACAGAGACAUAAGCAAAGAGACAGAGAGAAGAAGGAGAAUGCCUGGGAGUAAAACAGAAAGAAAAAUAUUAAGCCAGCCAAAGCUAUAGGAAGAAAAAAAAAAGAAGCGAUUAAAGCCUGACAGACAGACACAAGGACAGAAAGAAGCCACGGUGAUAGAGAGACAGACGAGCAAGCCGGCGUGAGAAAAGGAGAGGAUCCGAGGAAGAAAGCCUGAGAGAGAUGAGCUGAAGGAGAAUAACUUUAUUUGAAAUAUGGUGACAUGUUUCACUCAAGCUGCCAGACUCCUCAUUACAGGCACCUCCUUUGACGUCAGCUGUCACGGUUCAUCAGGCUGCGCCGGGUUAAGGGCAAAAACAAACAGCUGCCAUCUCUCUCAGCGGGGAGCAGUGCAGGUAAACACUGAAUAUUAUUCACUUCCCCUGCACUUGAGCCGGCAUCGCUCUCCAACUAACUGAAUAUCUCCAGAAUGUGUUAUUAAAAAGGAAGGAGAAGCAACCAGAGCUUGAAUUUCACAGCCCACCACUUCACCUUUGACCUCGGGAUAAAGACUGAGAUCUGCAGCUAGUGGCUCAAGAUGAUGGACUAGCGGCAUGGUGGAACUGAGACUGUAAAGAAUAUUAAGGUUCUCUCACGCUGGCUUGCUCGCGAGCAAAGGUUAACAGGUAGCUAAACAUUUUUAAACAGUGUUACAGAUUAUCUAAACUUUUUCAAAGUGUUGAGGAUUAGCUAAACAUUUGGUCAGUGUUGAAGAUUAGCAAAACCUUUUCAAAGUGUUGAGGAUUAGCUAGAUGUUUUUAAACAGUGUUGAAGAUUAGCUAAACUUUUUGAAAGUGUUGAGGAUUAGCUAGAUGUUUUUAAACAGUGUUACAGAUUAUCUAAACUUUUUCAAAAUUUUGAAGAUUAGCUAAAUGUUUUAACAGUGUUGAGGAUUAGCUAAACAUUUGGACAGUGUUGAAGAUUAGCUAAACUUUUUCAAAGUGUUGAGGAUUAGCUAAACAUUUUUAAACAGUGUUGAAGAUUAGCAAAACCUUUUCAAAGUGUUGAGGAUUAGCUAAACAUUUUUAAACAGUGUUGAAGAUUAGCAAAACUUUUUGAAAGUGUUGAGGAUUAGCUAGAUGUUUUUAAACAGUGUUGAAGAUUAGCAAAACUUUUUCAAAGUGUUGACGAUUAGCUACAUUUCUUUAAAGUGUUGAGGAUUGACUAAACAUUUUUAACAGUGUUGAAGAUUAGCUAAACAUGUAGAAACCGCGUUGAUUAGUUAAACAUCUGAAAGCAGCGUCGAUUAGCUAAACGUCUAGAAACAGCGUCGAUUAGCUAAACGUCUAGAAACAGCGUCGAUUAGAUAAACGUCUAGAAACAGCGUUGAUUAGCUAAACGUCUAGAAACAGCGUCGAUUAGCUAAACGUCUAGAAACAGCGUCGAUUAGCUAAACGUCUACAAACAGUGUUGAGGAUUAGCUAAACGUCUAGAAACAGUGUCGAUUAGCUAAACGUCUAGAAACAGUGUUGAGGAUUAGCUAAACAUUUAUAUCCAGGUUAGAGGAUUAGCGUUGAGGAUUAUUUAAAGAUUUUUUCACAGAUUCAUUCCUGUUAUGUUUUUCCUACUUUUCUGAAAUGUUUUUAAUAUUGCGAAAGGUUCGAAUGGAAGCCAUAGCCAUCGUUUCGCAAGCUCGGAUAAAUUGCUUCAUCGAACAGUUGUUUUCUUGCCGAGCGACAUGACUGCAUGCUGCAAGAGCACGAGAUCGGAUGCAAAAGCAUGACUCUCCUGCCAAAAUAGGCAAGUUUCAGUCUUCGAUUUGGAUCAUUGAACACCUCAUAAGCUACUGUCUUCAUGCUUCUCAUUAAGUUGCUUCAUAAAGUAGGUACUUCCUUUUCAAAAAGCAAUUUCACUGAGAUUAGCUUCUGUUUAAUGUACAGCUUAACUAAUUCAGUUAGAUGAUAGCUUAAUGAGCUACAUUAUCAGAAUAGCUCCCCGAAAACAGGUAAACAGUCGAUAAGAACCGGAGAAGGCAGAACAGUGAUGCAAGAUAUUGACUAGAAUUAUGCUUCCAUUUUAAUUCUUCACAACUCUGAAGAACACUGAGAAAGAAAUAUUUGUCAUUUACAUGAAUUACCGCGAAUGUGAAUAUUUUGAUAAGCAAACUUAGUGAUGUCAUCAAAAGAGAGGCAGAUAAACAUUGCCGCAGGCAGUACGUUAUCAUUUAAGAAAAAAAAUGCUUCCCCCAGAUUUGAUUAAAACCAGCAUACAACAAAAAUAAACAAACAAAUAAACAGUCGUAUUUAGGCAUUUUUGCAAGUGUGCGACCUUGGGAUUCCUGGUCCAAAUUGUAUAGUGUUCCACAUAUAAAAUGUCCUCCACACACACACCGUUAUUACCGAGUUAAUGAGCUAGAGCAUGUUAACUAAAGUAGAUGCAACGUCUGUUUGCAAUUUAGUUGCAAUUUGGGCUGUACAUGAAAAUUUGACACAUUAUGUACAACUUCUGAUCGAUAAUCUGCAUAUUCACCGUGUCAUCAUGAUCAUUUGCAUAUUGAAACAGGUUACAUGAAGAAGGACAUUUUGCUAAAGACAAUAAUUAUAUAAUAUAAUUAUAUAUAUUUUUUUUUUUAAAGAUUUCCAAUGACGUAGUGGUAGGGAAUAGUCUGGAAAUAAACGCGAAAGAAAUGGCUACGGAUGGAAUAGCUCACAUUUAAGGGAGUUUAAAACGAAGAAUAAAGAUGUGCAUAGGUGGGACAAGCAAUAGCGAUUGGUUGUUGGAAAUUAUGGUGGUCAGUGAUUAGUUGUUGAGACCAAUGGUGGUCAGUGAUUGGUAAUUGGGAAUUAUGGUGAUCAGUGACUGGUUGUUGAGAACAAUGGUGAUAAGUGAUUCGCUGCUGGGACCAGUGGUGAUCAGUGACUGGUCACUGAGAAUUAUGGUGGUCAGUGAUUAGUCGUUGAGAACAAUGGUGAUCUGUAAUUGGUCAUUGAGAGCAAUGGUAAUCUGGGAUUGGUUGUUGAGAACAAUGGUGAUCAGUGAUUGGUCAUUGAGAACAAUGGUGAUCAGUGACUGGUGGCUGGGAACAAUAGUGAUCAGUGAUUGGUCGUUGAGAACAAUAGUGAUCACUGAUUGGUUGUUGAGAACAAUGGUGAUCAGUGAUUGGUCAUUGGGAACAUUGGGGCUCAGUGAUUGGACAUUGGGAACAAUUGUGAUCCAUGAUUGGUCGUUGGGUGCAAUGGUGAUCUAGCAACAAAAUCACUAAAUUGGCUACAUUUUUGUCUGACUGUGAGAGAAUGUUGACAUAUGAAAUUCAGCCAUUUCUUCCCCAUGAUGCCCAUCAUGCCCUCUGCAGGUCUGGAGGACGAGUCAGGGUUUUACCCCAGACGCUGGCAGUUAGCCCUGAAGACCUGCCACUAACGUGGUGGCCGUAAUCCCACCAAAUCCAGCUGUAACCUCAACACCUGACCCAGUGGCACUGAAAGGAAAUGAGUUUCCUGCUACGUGAAGAUUUCAGCAAGACAGAAAGCUUCUCUUAAGACUUUUUUUUUUUUUACUCGUCUGCUCCUUUUUAUCACUCUCUCCCUCUCUCCCAAAGGGCACAGGAGGAUGGAGAUAGCCAAAGGAAUUAUCACAAAUAACAAGAAUGUCCUUGCUCCAUGUCUGCCUGGAGUGUGGAAGAGGCAGCGUUUGGCUCGGCAGAUACAGACAUUAACCGGCUGCCUCGCUCUUAUCCUGCUUGGCCAGACUUGAAAUGCUUUUUUUCCCUUUUUUUUCCCCAAUGUAGUCUUCCUUUUGUGAGACCCUUUCUUCAUUAAGUGCUUCUACUUUCAUUACCAAUGGCACUCUUUCCUCAUCACCUCAUGUUCCUGGUAAGGAGUGCCAAUGACCGCUAAAUGAGAGGACUGUGACAUGCCCUGUCUUUUUGACGGACACGGUAAUGAGAGUGGUAGAAUGCCACCGGAAAGACUGUCUGGUUUCAUCUGUUCGGGUAUUCUACAGUGCCGGCUGCUGGUGAUAUUAGAACUGACGCUAAAAUACAUUAUCUAUCCAUUUUUCUUACAACCUGUAAUUGGUUCCACACAAAAAAAAAAAACCCAGAAAUAAUCUGCUUGUUAAUAAUAAUAAUAAUCUGAUGUGGAUAAAACCUUAUAGAGGUCUUUUCAUCUUUAAAAGAAUUUGCUUGCCCAAUUGUAAG